rnacentral:rRNA from 1 species
AAUGAAGCGCCAUGGAGGGUGAGAGCCCCGUCCAUCCCGCACAGGAUCCAUUCGUACAAGGACGCUUCAACCGAGUCGGGUAGCUUGGGAAUGCUGCUCUAAUUGGUGGUAAAUCUCAUCAAAGGCUAAAUAGUGGUGGGAGACCGAUAGCGAACAAGUACCGUGAGGGAAAGAUGGAAAGAACUUUGAAAAGAGAGUGAAAAGCACUUGAAACCGUCACGGGGGAAGCGGAUUGCGUGAGUGAUGGUGUCGCUUGUUCAGCGCUUUAUUGCGUGCAUUCUGGCGGCGCCGUGCCGGCGUGGCUGGCUGGACUGUGAUUUUGACAGUCUCGGCUGGUGAGGGCUCCCUCGUAUGAGGUGAGGACGCGGGCAAAAUGACGCAAUACGACCCGUCUUGAAACACGGACCAAGGAGUCUAGCACGGCUGCGAGUCGAAGAGUGAUUAAACUCAAGGGCGCAGUGAAAGCGAAAUUAUAAGCAAAUUGGGGAGGCGUUGCGUUUUUAACAAAAUGUCCUACCUCGAGCAUUUGUGCUGGGACCCGAAAGAUGGUGAACUAUGCCGGAGUAGGGCAAAGCCAGAGGAAACUCUGGUGGAGGCUCGUAGCGAUGCUGACGUGCAAAUCGCUCGUCGAACUUGGGUAUAGGGGCGAAAGACUAAUCGAACCAUCUAGUAGCUGGUUCCCUCCGAAGUUUCUCUCAGGAUAGCGGCCCGACACGCGUUUGUUGUUUUGUGCGGUAAAGCGAAUGAUUAGUGCAUUUGGGGUACGAAGUACUUCGGGCGAUUCUCAAACUUUAAAUGCGCAAGGGGGUGGCUGCUUAAUUGAGCCUACUCUUUGAAAAACGUCGGCCCUGUGGGCCACUUUUGGUAAGC